GUGAGAAAGUUCGUCCCUCCGAUACAGCCAUACCGUGGUCACAGCCGGACCCGGCGGACCGCGGCGCCCGGCACAUCAACCAAUCUGCCGACGGCCGGGGGCGGAAUGCAGCGUCGGCCGCGCAAAAACCAACCGCAGGGGAAUGCGGCGUCGGUCGCGCAAAAAACCACCGCGGGGAGGAUGCGGCGUGGUGAGAACCGCAAGUCGGCACAGGAGCGUGACCAGCAGCAGGUCACCAGACCCGAGCUCCUCCUCCGGCGCAGCGGACCACGCCGGACCUCCUGAGACCGCCCCUGCGACAAAAAGAUACCUGGCCAGCCGACUCCCAUCGUUCGGCGCCGCGUCUGCCGCCGGAGGGUAACAAAAACCCCCUCCAGACAUCGAUAAGGGCAGGCCGGCGGCCGGUGAGGUCAUUGCCACGGCGAGUCGGUGACCUCUUCUACUGCUGUGCCCUGAGGUUCUGUGGCUGUUCUGUUCUGCUCUGUCCUGUUCUGCCCUGCUAUGUUCUGCGCGCUCUGUCCUGCGGGACUAGCCUUGCGUGCCGCGCCCGAGGCAAAUGCCAUCCGCCGGAGGCGCGGUAUAUAAGCUGAGUUCCGCAGUGAUCCGGGGACUUCUCUUCUUCGCCCUUCGCCCUUCGCUUCUCCACUGGAGAGCUACGUUGGAGCCUGCCCAGCGCGCGACGUUUGUUGAACCAACAUGUAAGUUUCAAGGGUGCGGCCCUUGAGCCCUUAUGGGGCCUUGUAAAUAGUUAUGGCUACUGGCCUGUGUUUGUAUGUUACCGUCUGUAAAUAAUUACUUUGAAAAACUUGCACAGUCUGUUGUGGGACAAAUGGUGGGAGAGAGAAAGGCGAACUGCAGAACGGUACCGAACUUGACAAACGUACAUUAGAGAGACUCGGAUAAUUAAACAACACUACCUUUAAACUUUAAACGGCACAGUUAAUUCGAUACGUCACGCUACCAGAACAAAUCCCAGCUGAAGUAACGAUAAAGCAAAUAACUUAACAACUCAUAGUAAAAAAUAGUUUCACAGUGGUGGCAGCGGUGGGAUUCCUAAUAGACUGACUGAUUUUAUUUUAAGCACGCCCAAGGCGAGCUAAAUAAAUUUAUUGUCGGUUCCGCUCCAAACAGGGCGGCGAACCCUUGUGCCUUUUUACUUGCAGUAAAUUACUUGUGUUGUAAGUUGUUUUUGCCCUUAAGAAUUAAAUUUAAGUAAUGUAGGUAUAGGGCCGUUCAUGUUCGCAGUGGUUCUCUCCCCCAGCUGUCCCGGCCAGUGGGACAGGCGGGCGGCUCAGCCACCCCGGGGUGCCAGCGCCGGCUCGCGGCGGACCCGCGGCAGGCCCUGCCCUCCGCCCUGUCUGAUUGGUGAAGGGACAGAGGAUGGGCGUGGCCAAUUUGAGUGUGGGGCUGAGGCACUGAGGGGUGCCACUGAGGACAGUGUAUGUCCAGGUGCUCUUGCUGCGUCAUCACUGAGGUUUCCCGGGCCCAUUCGUGCUUUGUGCUGAAAGCAACGAGUUUUGAGGCAUCUACCCGGGGAGGUGGGAAUCAUUCUCUCACAUAUAUUCAUCGGAGGGAUGUGAGAAAGUUCGUCCCUCCGAUACAGCCAUACCGUGGUCACAGCCGGACCCGGCGGACCGCGGCGCCCGGCACAUCAACCAAUCUGCCGACGGCCGGGGGCGGAAUGCAGCGUCGGCCGCGCAAAAACCAACCGCAGGGGAAUGCGGCGUCGGUCGCGCAAAAAACCACCGCGGGGAGGAUGCGGCGUGGUGAGAACCGCAAGUCGGCACAGGAGCGUGACCAGCAGCAGGUCACCAGACCCGAGCUCCUCCUCCGGCGCAGCGGACCACGCCGGACCUCCUGAGACCGCCCCUGCGACAAAAAGAUACCUGGCCAGCCGACUCCCAUCGUUCGGCGCCGCGUCUGCCGCCGGAGGGUAACAAAAACCCCCUCCAGACAUCGAUAAGGGCAGGCCGGCGGCCGGUGAGGUCAUUGCCACGGCGAGUCGGUGACCUCUUCUACUGCUGUGCCCUGAGGUUCUGUGGCUGUUCUGUUCUGCUCUGUCCUGUUCUGCCCUGCUAUGUUCUGCGCGCUCUGUCCUGCGGGACUAGCCUUGCGUGCCGCGCCCGAGGCAAAUGCCAUCCGCCGGAGGCGCGGUAUAUAAGCUGAGUUCCGCAGUGAUCCGGGGACUUCUCUUCUUCGCCCUUCGCCCUUCGCUUCUCCACUGGAGAGCUACGUUGGAGCCUGCCCAGCGCGCGACGUUUGUUGAACCAACAUGUAAGUUUCAAGGGUGCGGCCCUUGAGCCCUUAUGGGGCCUUGUAAAUAGUUAUGGCUACUGGCCUGUGUUUGUAUGUUACCGUCUGUAAAUAAUUACUUUGAAAAACUU